rnacentral:rRNA from 1 species
GACGAACGCUGGCGGCGUGCUUAACACAUGCAAGUCGAACGGAAAGGCCCUGCUUUUGUGGGGUGCUCGAGUGGCGAACGGGUGAGUAACACGUGAGUAACCUGCCCUUGACUUUGGGAUAACUUCAGGAAACUGGGGCUAAUACCGGAUAGGAGCUCCUGCUGCAUGGUGGGGGUUGGAUAGUUUCGGCGGUUGGGGAUGGACUCGCGGCUUAUCAGCUUGUUGGUGGGGUAGUGGCUUACCAAGGCUUUGACGGGUAGCCGGCCUGGGAGGGUGACCGGCCACAUGGGGACUGAGAUACGGCCCAGACUCCUACGGGAGGCAGCAGUGGGGAAUAUUGCACAAUGGGCGGAAGCCUGAUGCAGCAACGCCGCGUGCGGGAUGACGGCCUUCGGGUUGUAAACCGCUUUCGCCUGUGACGAAGCGGGAGUGACGGUAAUGGGUAAAGAAGCACCGGCUAACUACGUG